GUUAAAGGCUGAAAGAAUGAAUGAGCGACACAGGAUGAAAGACAGCAAGUGAACAGGCUACUAGGGAGAUACCUGUAACAACAUCACCAACCACAGUUGGGGUAAUGGAGAAUUUCUAAAAAAAAAAAAGGCCUUACUACUUUCUGAUCAUAUCUUAGAUAUAUCACAAGCCAAACAUCCUACUUUGAGUCAAUUCAAGUCAAUUGGGUAUAUCAUCUAUAAGAAAAAAUGUGGGAUAUUUGGGAACAUCUACAGCAACACUAUACAGUAGAACUAUAAUAUGAAUACCCCUGAACUACAUGAAAAGUUAAAAUUAUACUCUCCUGUAACAGAAAGAGAGCUACGAUCGAGAGGACUUUAUUUAUGGACAGUAACAUUCCUACUUAUUCUGAGGUCACACUUCCUGAACAAUGCAAUCAAAUUAAAAUAACCUUAAAUAGCACUUGGAAGGGCAAAUAACUCACAAAGCCCAAUAGACUGUCCCUUAAGAGAGGUAGAAGAAAACUGAAUAACUGAAGCAAUCACCAGCAGGUUCUAGCAGCUAGACACAAUGACAUCAAUUAGAAGUAACCAAUAAAAAUACAGAAAUGAAAAAAAGAAAUAACAGAACACUAAACUAUUCAUUCAUUUUUCUAGUUUUCAGCAGCAAACCAUCUGUAGUUAUUUUGUCAUAGAGGCAAAUGACACUCUUUGAGGACUCUAUUGUAUUAUAAAAGAAUAUAUAACUUGACCUUCAAUCAACAAGAGAAGGUUAAACGUUAUUUAAGUAGAUUUUGAGAAACAUAACAACUGUGAUACCU
rnacentral:antisense_RNA from 1 species